rnacentral:lncRNA from 1 species
CUCAUAGGUCUGGAGGUUAGAUAAGAGGACAUCAGAGAUUCCUUACAGUACUAACAUUCUAGAAUGCCAUGACUUCAGCAUACUGGCUUUUAAAGUACAAAUCACCUUCAGAAGAAAAUCCCUUUGUCUUUGGGUUGAGCAAGUAAAAGACCCAGGGAGAGGUGUGUGUGUGGCAUGAGGGUGGCAGAGGAUACGCAGACAAUUUGGCUCAAUCGUGCUGUCUCUAGAGAAACCAAGGGACAUUGAUGCAACCUUGGAAGAUGUUAUAAAGAUACCAUUUUGCAGAUGAUGAAACUGAGGUUCAGAGAGGCCCAAUAGUCGACACAAAACCAAGGUGGGAAUGUGAAUCUGUUUUUCAUUCCGUGACCCUGUGGUGCCCUUCUCUACAGCUGUUCAUCCACAGACCUUCAAAGGAUGUGCCACCAGUCUCAGCUAUGCAGUAAACAGUCCCGGCAAAGGAUCUUUGUGCAGAUUUGUGAUUAAAGGCAAACAAGAUAAUGAGUCCCAGGACCAGGGGAGAGCAGUCCGCACUCUCAUGCAUUCCUCAAUUCACAUGGCCCUGGAAACCUUUCAGUGUGGCAGUGGCUGUGGCAAUCACUCUGCCAACUGCAGAAUAAAGGGUCCUGUCUGGAAAUGCAAUUAUUUCCAAAUAAAAGGUUUUUAAAAGACACACACGAUAGCAUUUUUGGUUUUCAGAAACUGAUAUACCAAAUAAGGACAAAAAUUAACUUUGUAAAAAAUGAAGAUGAUGAAGACAAUGAAGAGAUGGUGAUGAUGAUGAUGGAUGAAGAUUGUGGUGAUAAGCAUGAUGAAUAUAUUGAGAAGGUGAAGAUGAUGAAGAUGAAGAUGGUGAUGAUGAUGGUAGCAGCAACCACCAUUUUCUGAGCACAUAAAUGUGCCACUCACUAUGUUGGCUACUCUAUAGACAUUAUCUCUAAUUAUUACAAUAACCCUGUAAGACAAAGUUUAGCACCUCCAUUUAACACAUGAGAAACUGAAGCUCAGAGAAGUGAAGUAACCUGCCUGAGGUCACAACCUUAGGCAUGAAAAAGGAUUGACAGAGAUUACUGCUUGAAUUAUUACUCCAAAUCCUGUGCCUCUAACCACUAACAUAACCACUUCAUUUGUUUACUCCUUCAUUUAUUUAAAAAAUUUAUUCAUCUAUUGAAUGAAUGUUUACUUGGUCUCAGAUAUACCUAUGAUACCUGCUAGACCUUCCUAAUCCCCAUUUGUCAAGAAAAUGCCACCACCCUCACAUUAGGGAUAAAUGAAAAUGAGGGUGAA